rnacentral:rRNA from 1 species
AUAUUUGGUGUGGGUCAUUCAGUUGAUCCGUGCCGGAGCUAACGCGUUAAAUAUGCCGCCUGGGGAGUACAGUCGCAAGGCUGAAACUCAAAGGAAUUGACGGGGGCCCGCACAAGCGGUGGAGCAUGUGGUUUAAUUCGACGCAACGCGAAGAACCUUACCUGGGCUCGAAAUGCUGUGGACCAGCUUAUGAAAGUAGGCCUUCCCGCAAGGGACCGCAGUAUAGGUGCUGCAUGGCUGUCGUCAGCUCGUGUCGUGAGAUGUUGGGUUAAGUCCCGCAACGAGCGCAACCCUUGUCCUGUGUUGCCAUACCGAAAGGUGGAACUCGCAGGAGACCGCCAGGGAUAACCUGGAGGAAGGUGGGGAUGACGUCAAGUCCUCAUGGCCUUUAUGUCCAGGGCUACACACGUGCUACAAUGGACGGUACAAAGGGCUGCCAACCCGCGAGGGGGAGCCAAUCCCAAAAAACCGUUCUCAGUUCGGAUUGCAGGCUGCAACUCGCCUGCAUGAAGCUGGAAUCGCUAGUAAUGGCGGAUCAGAACGCCGCCGUGAAUACGUUCCCGGGCCUUGUACACACCGCCCGUCACAUCACGAAAGUGGGUUGUACUAGAAGUCCGCGCGCUA